rnacentral:rRNA from 1 species
UACGUAGGGUGCGAGCGUUGUCCGGAAUUAUUGGGCGUAAAGAGCUUGUAGGCGGCUUGUCGCGUCUGCUGUGAAAAUCCGAGGCUCAACCUCGGACUUGCAGUGGGUACGGGCAGGCUAGAGUGUGGUAGGGGAGACUGGAAUUCCUGGUGUAGCGGUGAAAUGCGCAGAUAUCAGGAGGAACACCGGUGGUGUAGACGGCUCUCUGGACCGUAACUGACGCUGAGGCACGAAAGCGUGGGUAGCAAACAGG